rnacentral:rRNA from 1 species
UACGAGGGGUGCAAGCGUUGCUCGGAAUUAUUGGGCGUAAAGGGUAGGUAGGUGGUCUCAUUUGUCUGGGGUGAAAGCCUUGAGCUUAACUCAAGAAGUGCCCCAGAAACGGUGAGACUGGAGUCUUGGAGAGGGUCGUGGAAUUCCCGGUGUAGCGGUGAAAUGCGUAGAGAUCGGGAGGAACACCAGAGGCUAAGUCGGCGACCUGGACAAGCACUGACACUCAACUACGAAAGCGUGGGGAGCAAACAGG